rnacentral:rRNA from 1 species
AGAGUUUGAUCCUGGCUCAGAUUGAACGCUGGCGGAAUGCUUUACACAUGCAAGUCGAGCGGCAGCAUGGACUUCGGUCUGAAGGCGAGCGGCGAACGGGUGAGUAACAUAUAGGAACAUACCCAGUAAUGGGGGAUAACUCCGAGAAAUCGGAGCUAAUACCGCAUACGCCCUGAGGGGGAAAGCGGGGGAUCUUCGGACCUCGCGUUAUUGGAAUGGCCUAUAUCUGAUUAGCUAGUUGGUGAGGUAAAGGCUCACCAAGGCGACGAUCAGUAGCUGGUCUGAGAGGAUGAUCAGCCACACUGGAACUGAGACACGGUCCAGACUCCUACGGGAGGCAGCAGUGGGGAAUUUUGGACAAUGGGCGAAAGCCUGAUCCAGCCAUUCCGCGUGAGUGAAGAGGGCCUUCGGGUUGUAAAGCUCUUUCGGCAGGAACGAAACGGCGGAUAUUAAUACUAUCCGUUACUGACGGUACCUGAAGAAGAAGCACCGGCUAACUACGUGCCAGCAGCCGCGUAAUAC